GCAUGUAUAGUUUAGUGGUUAUGACGUGACCUUGCCAAGGUUGCAACCUGGGUUCAAGUCCCAGUACGUGCA
rnacentral:tRNA from 1 species